rnacentral:lncRNA from 1 species
CUCAUUUGGUUCAUUAACCAAGUUCGACGAACUAAAAGUCGAGUCGAACUCUAAACUUUAGCCUGUGGUUGAGGGUUCUUUAUAGGAGUUUAGUUGGUUUUCCGUUGGUGUUUUAGUUCUUACUAUUGUUUUUCUGCGGGUGGAAUUCUAUGUUUUUUAUUAUUGCUUGACUUUAGUACUUCUUGUACUCUAAUUUCUAUAUGGUUGUACUCUUUUUUUUUUUUUUUGACUUAACUAUGUGGUUGUACUCUUGCAUGAGAUUUCACCUUUUUAUUUAUAAUAUAUGUAUUUUACAUUAA